UCCAAUAUGUUCUGAAACAAUAUUUUAGUUAGUUUAUGUAAACAAGGCACAAAUAUGCAUCAAAAUUUAUCAAGUUAAAUUGAUGGACAUACUUUUUUCGAAAGCAGUGAGACAACUGAUGGGAUGGAGACCCAUCCACUUCUAUGAUGAUAUUAACUUACUUGCGUGCUGAUCAGUUGCUGGAUGAAUUAAAGCUCUCAUAGCUCCCUAAAUCAGUAUUGUAUCAUCAGUUGCAUCUAAUGCUACAAUUGAAGCACAUAAUGCUGUGAAAAUAAAAGCUUUAACUUAAGGAGCAUCAGGAGAAAAGUUUAAACAUUAACUGAAGAGAUAUUUUUUGCUUUUUGGGGAUUGAAAUGGCGGACAAAUAGCUCGAGAGGAACGUUCUUUAUAUAAAA
rnacentral:lncRNA from 1 species